UACGGGGGGGGGCAAGCGUUGUUCGGAAUUACUGGGCGUAAAGGGCGCGUAGGCGGUUCGCUAAGUUGAAUGUGAAACUCUCGGGCUUAACCCAGAGCCUGCAUUCAAUACUGGCGGGCUAGAGUUCUGGAGGGGAUAGCGGAAUUCCUGGUGUAGCGGUGAAAUGCGUGAGAUAUCAGGAGGAACACCCGGUCGGCGAAGGCGGCUAUCUGGACAGAGUCUGACGCUGAGGCGCGAAAGCUAGGGAGCAAACAGG
rnacentral:rRNA from 1 species